UACGAAGGUGGCAAGCGUUGUUCGGAUUUACUGGGCGUACAGGGAGCGUAGGCGGUUGGAUAAGCCCUCCGUGAAAUCUCCAGGCUUAACCUGGAAAGUGCAGAGGGGACUGUUCAGCUAGAGGAUGGGAGAGGAGCGCGGAAUUCCCGGUGUAGCGGUGAAAUGCGUAGAGAUCGUAAGGAAGACCAGUGGCGAAGGCGGGUCUCUGGACAGUUCCUGACACUGAGGCACGAAGGCCAGGGGAGCAAACGGG
rnacentral:rRNA from 1 species